rnacentral:rRNA from 1 species
GACGUAGGGGGGCCAGCGUUGUUCGGAAUUACUGGGUGUAAAGGGUUCGUAGGCGGUGUGGCAAGUCGGGAGUGAAAUCUCUGGGCUCAACCCAGAGUCUGCUUCCGAAACUGCUGUGCUUGAGUGUGGGAGAGGCGCGUGGAAUUGCAGGUGUAGCGGUGAAAUGCGUAGAUAUCUGCAGGAACACCCGUGGCGAAAGCGGCGCGCUGGACCACUACUGACGCUGAGGAACGAAAGCUAGGGGAGCAAACAGG